ACUACGGGUGGCAGCAGUGAGGAAUAUUGGUCAAUGGGCGCGAGCCUGAACCAGCCAAGUAGCGUGAAGGAUGACUGCCCUACGGGUUGUAAACUUCUUUUAUAAAGGAAUAAAGUGCGGCACGUGUGCCUUUUUGUAUGUACCUUAUGAAUAAGCAUCGGCUAACUCCGUGCCAGCAGCCGCGGUAAUACGGGGGAUCCGAGCGUUAUCCGGAUUUAUUGGGUUUAAAGGGUGCGUAGGUGGGUUGUUAAGUCAGUUGGGAAAGUUUGGGGCUCAACCGUAAAAUUGCAGUUGAUACUGGCAGUCUUGAGUACAGUUGAGGUAGGCGGAAUUCGUGGUGUAGCGGUGAAAUGCAUAGAUAUCACGAAGAACACCGAUUGCGAAGGCAGCUUACUAGACUGCAACUGACAUUGAUGCACGAAAGUGUGGGUAUCAAACAGGAUUAGAUACCCGGGUAGUC
rnacentral:rRNA from 1 species